rnacentral:pre_miRNA from 1 species
AUUUAUGGCAAUUAUGUCUUUAAGUUGUGAUAAAUUACUUUGAGAGAAAUCUUAGUUUCCACUUCAACUCAUGCAUCUUGU